ACAUGGCCACCCAUAUGCUCUGGAGCCUGGCUUACGCAGCCUCCUUCUCCAUGCCCCCUCCCCUGCAUUUGGGGCCUGAUUCAGGCAGCUUCUUUUCUUUUCUUCCCUCCCAGCCUGGCUCCUGCAGACCCCCUCUCCUCCUUGCCUCUGGCUGGUUCAUACAUCAGAUGCUUCCCACCAUCCAGGGGAACUGAGCCCAUCCAUGUGUGAUUAAUACAUUGAACUUCCCUGCUGCCCAGAGAGACACCAGAAUCAGGAUCCCAGGAUGAGUCUAAGUGAUAAGAAUACACUCAACCAAAUGCUAUAUCAACCAUAUCAACAGCAAAAUGAUGACACAUCACCAGAUUGACUGAAUUGGCAAGAAGUCUCAGUGCCAUUGAGAGAUCUUGGUAUGAAGUUAGAAUUCUUCCUUCCUCAAGGUCAUGGGACCAAGAAAUCUUGCAGUGACAGGCAUCCCUGUUUCCUGAGACACAACAACAUAGAAAUUAGACUGAUUAAUAACCUUACAAUGUCCUCUAAGUGUUCAAAAGAAGAGUCACUCAAGGCAGCAAGCUUCAUUGUUGUCUUAUUUGAAGAAUUCAUCAGGGCCACACCAAUGUUCAGUGACCUCCAUCCUGAGCAUUCAACAGCCAUUGACUUCAAGACAAAGAUUAUGAUUCAAAAAAAAAAAACUCAGAUGAAGAGCUGUCUUUUUAAAUAAUCUUCUGUCUCCUUGAAGUGGAAGAAAAUAUCCAAACAGAUGGACUCCGGCUGGGAGGAAUAGAGAAAAUCCACCCACAGGAUCCUGUUUUCCCUCCCAAGAGGAAGGAAGAAGAGAAUCCACCUUUAUUCUUAUCCCUUCUCUAUUCAUUGUUACCUUCCAUGUCCUGGCCCUCUUAUUUAACUGAGGAAAUCCUCCUCCCUUCUGGAAAAAAAUCUUUGUGUGUGGGGAGAGGAUGGGUCAAUUUCCAGGAAAUCUUCUCAUUUUCCAUUUCAAUCCUGAUUAACAUAUCUGUAUAUCUGACUGAUCUAAUCCCUACCCUAGCUGGCUCA
rnacentral:lncRNA from 1 species